GCGGAUGUAGCUCAGUUGGCUAGAGCGUCUGCUUGCCAUGCAGAAGGUCGUGGGUUCGAGUCCCCUCAUCCGCU
rnacentral:tRNA from 1 species